CCCUUAGAUGUUCUGGGCGGCCCGCGCACUACAUUGGCACUCUCAAUCAGAGCCUAGAUCAAAAACUUUGGGGUAUUCUAUGAAGAGGUGUCGUGACUGGGAUUAACCCUUGCAAUUAUUGGUUACGAACGAGGAAUUCCUUGUAAUCGCGGUUUAUCAGCCCGCGUUGAAUGCGUCCCUGCCCUUUGUACACACCGCCCGUCGCACCUACCGAUUGAAUGGUCCGGUGAAAUCUCGGGACGGCGGCUUGGUCGCUUGCGUCCGACUGCUGAAACUUGAUUAAACCAUAUCAUUUAGAGGAAGGUGAAGUCGUAACA
rnacentral:rRNA from 1 species